UUUGUCAAUAACGAAGAAUAUUGUGAAAUGUUUAAGUGCAGAAUUUGGUUGCUCGUCCUGCGUAUGUUAAGACAAAAAGUCUAUUUACAAGGUUACACGACAACGGAUGACAUUCAAUUUCUGAACAUCAUUGUAAAAUAUUACCAAACUUUUUGGUUGAAACGCGAG